rnacentral:rRNA from 1 species
GAUGAACGCUGGCGGCGUGCCUAAUACAUGCAAGUCGAGCGAACAGACGAGGAGCUUGCUCCUCUGACGUUAGCGGCGGACGGGUGAGUAACACGUGGAUAACCGACCUAUAAGACUGGGAUAACGUCGGGAAACCGGAGCUAAUACCGGAUAAUAUAUUGAACCGCAUGGUUCAAUAGUGAAAGACGGUUUUGCUGUCACUUAUAGAUGUAUCCGCGCCGCAUUAGCUAGUUGGUAAGGUAACGGCUUACCAAGGCAACGAUGCGUAGCCGACCUGAGAGGGUGAUCGGCCACACUGGAACUGAGACACGGUCCAGACUCCUACGGGAGGCAGCAGUAGGGAAUCUUCCGCAAUGGGCGAAAGCCUGACGGAGCAACGCCGCGUGAGUGAUGAAGGUCUUCGGAUCGUAAAACUCUGUUAUUAGGGAAGAACAAAUGUGUAAGUAACUAUGCACGUCUUGACGGUACCUAAUCAGAAAGCCACGGCUAACUACGUG